rnacentral:lncRNA from 10 species
AAUCUCACCUCGAGCUGGGUUGGGAAUGUCUCUGCAACUCUUCCUGCCCUGCCUUGCAGCUGCCUGUGUGGACGACACCAAACGGACAUGCUUAUCUGAGGGAGCACCAGAGAAUCGGAGCACCUCCACCUCUCCUUGAUGAUCCUGUCUUGUCAGUUUCCCCAAGAAAGAGCAUUCCUGUAUCCACGCUGUGUGACGAGGGUGACUCGGCAUGGAAAGGGGAUGGAAUGGAGGAUUAGGAGUUAACACAGCAGUAAGAUCACAGACUGGUCUCGCUGAUCCCAUAGCCUUCUUCACUGAUUUGUGCAAGCCUGUGAAGACAGCUCCACUCUGCCCCAUAAUAUCGUGAUAUGCCCUUGGGAGGCAAACUGCAGGCAAAAUGCAUCCCCAGCUCCCGGGUCUGAAGUCACGUCCCUGCCCCUCUCCAGCCUCAGAGCUGGGUGUAGGCUCCUGAACUGCACUUGGUUUUCGGCUCUGUGCCCAGUUCCUUAAGCCAGCGGCCUCUGCCUGGUAUCGCAGACCCUGUGUUGGUGGAUCCAUCUGUCCAGUGAGCGGCCCGCCCAGCUCCCACCUCAAGGGAUGACGGAGGACCCAAGGUUGUACAGGAAGCAUGGAGGCAGCAUCUGCUCAGCUUCUGGGGAUGCCACAGAGAGCAUAAAAUCAUGACUGAAGGUGAAGUGGGAGCUGACAUCCCACAAAGGGAGAGCCAGGAGUGGGAGACAGAGGGGGAGGUGCCACACACUUUCGAAGGACCAGAUCUCACGAGAACUCACUGCUGUGAGGACAGCACCAAGCCAGGGGGAUCCACCCCUAUGACCAGAAGGCCACACACCAGGCCCCACCUCCAGCACUGAGGAUGACAAUUCAACAUGAGAUUUAGAAGAGACAAUAUACAAACUUUCUCAGUGGCUUUUAAAAAUUAACAAAAUUAAAAUUUAAAAUCCCGUGGAGUCUUUCCUUGUUUUUCUUGAAUUUCUAUAUUCCCAGCUCUGAUGCAUGGAGUGCAAGAGAGUACACAUUACAAAAAAGGCUUCUCUCUAAGAUAUCUUUAUAAAAGUUUUAAGAGAGAAAAAGAUAAGGAUACACAGGACCCUCUGGUUACAGAAACAAGCACACACCAAUCUUACACUGAUUUG